GAUAUGCCACAAGAACUCUCCAAAAGGCAAUUUAGUCUCCCUUUCCCGGAGUGUUUAAGAACAAGACAUGAGAGAAACUAUCCUACACUUCAUUCUGUACAGGAGAGAUGGACCCACUCAUCGGGGGCGUGGUCUGCACUGGGUCCCCGCCCACAAACACAGCGCUUCUCUGUCAUUGAGCCCUAAACCUCGUGUUGGAAAAGGGCGCUCAAUACAACUGCAGUCAUCAACCAGCAACGACCUGAGAGCACUGCAGCGUGGGCUUUAAAUGACAGGCAUGGGGCCAUGCAGUUAGAACCUGAUCACGCGUGACUGGGUCGCUGAAGGAGAGACAACACGCCAGCAUGGUGAGUUCACGGGAAGGAAGACAAACUAAAGCAUUGAUGAUGAAGGAUGUGAUAAGAGAGAAAGAACGAGUAAGAUGAUACAGGAUGACGUGUAUAUCCUUUUAACAUACAUUCAAGCACAGUGUCUUUUGAUAGAGUUAUCAACCAGAGUUCUGUUACGUUUGUUGGUAUUCAGUCUUAUAUCAUGUCAGACUGAUAAACAGUUUUUACAACACCAUAUCUCAGUCACAGUUGUUAAUGCGCCUUACAUGAUCAAAACAUACAAUUUUUAAAAGCUCUCUUACAAGCGUAUUUAUUAUUAUCUUAGUAUGAUUGAAAAAGAGGUGUAGUUCAAAGUCACUCCAUAAGUCAUAAUGCAAAUUGCAAUUCAGUACUGUAGGUUAUACAAAAUAAAGAAAUAGUAAAGAAAAAAGGUUCGUUUUUAAGACAUCAUGUAAAUUUUAUACCAGGCCAACAUUACAACAUUUAAAAGAAAACAGCUGUAUGGUGUUCAUUUAUUUAAUAAAGACAGCCACCUUUCAGGAUGAGUCAGACUUCAGGCCUUUUCUUCCCAUCAUCACAACUCAAAUGUAAAAAUAGCCAUUACUGAAUAACUAGUAACAGAUAGUCUACAUGCAUAUCCAUUUCAUGACUCUCUUAGUGAGAAGUUACACGACACUGUUUCCAAACGUAGGCUAACUCCUGAUCUUUGAAAUUUGAUUUUGUAAUUAAAGAUUUCCAAUCCAAAAGACUGCAAUGUGUACUUGUGUAUGACAAAGAAAGAUGGACAGAUGAAAGAAAGAACAGACAGAAAGC